rnacentral:rRNA from 1 species
AAGGUCCCCCACAUUGGAACUGAGACACGGUCCAAACUCCUACGGGAGGCAGCAGUGAGGAAUAUUGGUCAAUGGACGAGAGUCUGAACCAGCCAAGUAGCGUGAAGGAUGACUGCCCUAUGGGUUGUAAACUUCUUUUAUAUGGGAAUAAAACGUUCCACGUGUGGAAUUUUGUAUGUACCAUAUGAAUAAGGAUCGGCUAACUCCGUGCCAGCAGCCGCGGUAAUACGGAGGAUCCGAGCGUUAUCCGGAUUUAUUGGGUUUAAAGGGAGCGUAGGUGGAUUGUUAAGUCAGUUGUGAAAGUUUGCGGCUCAACCGUAAAAUUGCAGUUGAAACUGGCAGUCUUGAGUACAGUAGAGGUGGGCGGAAUUCGUGGUGUAGCGGUGAAAUGCUUAGAUAUCACGAAGAACUCCGAUUGCGAAGGCAGUUCACUGGACUGCAACUGACACUGAGGCUCGAAAGUGUGGGUAUCAAACAGGAUUAGAUACCCUGGUAGUC